rnacentral:rRNA from 2 species
AUAGCGAACCAGUACCGUGAGGGAAAGGUGAAAAGAACCGCGGGAGCGGAGUGAAAGAGAACCUGAAACCGUGCGCUUACAAGAAGUCAGAGCCCUUUUGAUGGGUGAUGGCGUGCCUUUUGUAGAAUGAACCGGCGAGUUGCGUUUGCGUGCGAGGUUAAGGCUUUGAGGCCGGAGCCGUAGCGAAAGCGAGUCUGAAGAGGGCGAUUUAGUACGCAGGCGCAGACCCGAAACCGUGUGAUCUACCCCUGUCCAGGGUGAAGGCAGGGUAAAACCUGCUGGAGGCCCGAACCGGUAGGCGUUGAAAAGUCUUCGGAUGAGGCGGGGGUAGGGGUGAAAUGCCAAUCGAACACGGAGAUAGCUGGUUCUCCCCGAAAUAGCUUUAGGGCUAGCCUCGGGUGAAGGCUUUGCGGAGGUAGAGCACUGAAAGGAUGCGGGGCCCGCAAGGGUUACCAAGUUCUAUCAAACUCCGAAUGCCGUAAAAGCUUAUGCCCGGGAGUCAGACGGUAAGCAGCCAUCAUUCAAAGAGUGCGUAAUAGCUCACUGGUCGAGUGGCGCUGCGCCGAAAAUUCAACGGGGCUAAACACACCACCGAAGCCAUGGCUUGCACCUUUGGGUGCAGGGGUAGGGGAGCGUUGCAUGCGGGUUGAAGCCGUACCGGAAGGAGCGGUGGACGGCAUGCACUAAGGCGAGGCCGAAAGGCGUAGUCGAAAGGGCAACAGGUUGAAAUUCCUGUACCACCCGUGCGGCGUCAUGAGCGAUGGGGGGACGCAGGAGGGCAGAGACGCAGGCGGAUGGAAGAGCCUGUCCAAGCAGCAAGAGGGGUGCACAGGCAAAUCCGUGCACCGGUAACCUUGAGCUGUGACGGGGAGGGGAAACUGAAGUACCCGAAGGUCUUGUGCUCCCACUGCCGAGAAAAGCCUCUAGCCAGCCGCAGGGUGCCCGUACCGGAAACCGACACAGGCAGGCGGGAAGAAGAUUCCAAGGCGCGCGGAAGAACUCUCGUCAAGGAACUCGGCAAAAUGGCCCCGUAACUUCGGGAAGGCCCAAGCGACUGUUUAGCAAAAACACAGGUCUGUGCGAAGCCGCAAGGCGAAGUAUACGGGCUGACGCCUGCCCGGUGCUGGAAGGUUAAGGGGAGAGGUUAGCCGCAAGGCGAAGCUUUGAACCGAAGCCCCAGUAAACGGCGGCCGUAACUAUAACGGUCCUAAGGUAGCGAAAUUCCUUGUCAGGUAAAUUCUGACCCGCACGAAUGGCGUAACGACUUGGGCGCUGUCUCGACGAGAGAUCCGGUGAAAUUUUAGUACCUGUGAAGAUGCAGGUUACCCGCGACAAGACGGAAAGACCCCAUGGAGCUUUACUGCAGCUUGAUAUUGAACUGGGGUGGAGCUUGUACAGGAUAGGUGGGAGCCUGAGAAGCCGGUGCGCCAGCAUCGGUGGAGGCGACGUUGGGAUACCACCCUGGCUGUACUCGAGUUCUAACCCGGCGCCCUGAAUCGGGUGCGGGGACCGUGUCAGGCAGGCAGUUUGACUGGGGCGGUCGCCUCCCAAAAGGUAACGGAGGCGCCCCAAGGUUCCCUCAGAAUGGUUGGAAAUCAUUCGGAGAGUGCAAAGGCAGAAGGGAGCUUGACUGCGAGACGGACAGGUCGAGCAGGGACGAAAGUCGGGCUUAGUGAUCCGGUGGUUCCGGAUGGAAGGGCCAUCGCUCAACGGAUAAAAGCUACCCUGGGGAUAACAGGCUUAUCUCCCCCAAGAGUCCACAUCGACGGGGAGGUUUGGCACCUCGAUG